CGUAGUCAACAUGCCCAGGGGACGUGGAUAACCUCGGGAAACUGAGGAUAAACCACGAUAAGUCACUACUUCUGGAAUGGGUAAUGACUCAAAUCUACAUGGCCCCUGGAUUGGACUGCGGCCGGUCAGGCUGUUGGUGAGGUAAUGGCCCACCAAACCUGUAACCGGUACGGGCUCUGAGAGGAGGAGCCCGGAGAUGGGCACUGAGACAAGGGCCCAGGCCCUAUGGGGCGCAGCAGGCGCGAAACCUCUGCAAUAGGCGAAAGCCUGACAGGGUUACUCUGAGUGAUUUCCGUUAAGGAGAUCUUUUGGCACCUCUAAAAAUGGUGCAGAAUAAGGGGUGGGCAAGUCUGGUGUCAGCCGCCGCGGUAAUACCAGCACCCCGAGUGGUCGGGACGUUUAUUGGGCCUAAAGCAUCCGUAGCCGGUUCUACAAGUCUUCCGUUAAAUCCACCUGCUUAACAGAUGGGCUGCGGAAGAUACUAUGGAGCUAGGAGGCGGGAGAGGCAAGCGGUACUCGAUGGGUAGGGGUAAAAUCCGUUGAUCCAUUGAAGACCACCAGUGGCGAAGGCGGCUUGCCAGAACGCGCUCGACGGUGAGGGAUGAAAGCUGGGGGAGCAAACCGGAUUAGAUACCCGGGUAGUCCCAGCUGU
rnacentral:rRNA from 1 species